rnacentral:rRNA from 1 species
CAGUAGCCACGGUAAUACAGAGGGUGCGAGCGUUAAUCGGAUUUACUGGGCGUAAAGCGUGCGUAGGCGGCUUUUUAAGUCGGAUGUGAAAUCCCUGAGCUUAAUUUAGGAAUUGCAUUCGAUACUGGGAAGCUAGAGUAUGGGAGAGGAUGGUAGAAUUCCAGGUGUAGCGGUGAAAUGCGUAGAGAUCUGGAGGAAUACCGAUGGCGAAGGCAGCCAUCUGGCCUAAUACUGACGCUGAGGUACGAAAGCAUGGGGAGCAAACAGGAUUAGAUACCCCCGUAGUCCCUGUCUCUUAUAC